ACAUGCCUACAACAUAGUGUUAAUACACCAGAUCCCAUUAGAACUUCGUAGUUAAGCGCGCUCAGGCUAGAGUAGUACUGGGAUGGGUGACCGCUUGAGAAAUUCUAGUGUUUUACAUGCC
rnacentral:rRNA from 1 species